CUUCCACCACCUGGCUGCGUGUUUGUUUCCGGACCCGCGGAGCUCGGUGUUGUGUGUCCGUUGCGUGUUCGGUGUCCAUUCCUCUGUCCGGUUUUCUCCGCGAGGCUCCAAGUGACUCCGCCAUUGCCUCCAUGGCCCUGGGACCUGCAGGUACUGGAAGGUCCAUUGGGAAGAUGUCGGGACACCACAGAAGACAAGAACCGAUUCUGUUAGCCUAUCGAAAAUGCAAGAUGCAGUUCUUUCAUGGGAACACUUAUUAGAACUUAAGAAUAAUCAUUGUGAACAACUUACAGUAAAUAUUAAACAAAUGGAAAAUAUGGUUGGUGUACUACAAAAGGAGCUAUGUGAAGCAAAAGAAACACAAUUACAGUUAGAGCAUGAAAAAGGUCAAUGGGAACAAGAACGCUACAGUUUGAGAUGGAGCUGUCUAGUUGAAGGAAAACAAGCUCAGGACUUUCACUGAUUCUACAUCAUAAUGACCUUAAAAGAAGAAGAAAAGGGAAGAAAUGCUGAUAUAUUGCCUAAAAAAGACAGUGAACAGUUAAAAAGAAAAGAAAAGGAAUGUGGGAAAGAAGUUGAAACAACAACUCAAACAGACUCUGAAAUCACUGGUCACAGAAUUGAGGACAUUAGGAAAGAAUUUGGAUCAGGUUGUGCAGAAGCGAAGCGAUACCCACAAGCAACUUUCUGAAGAGCAGAAUGCCAGAAUAUUACAAGAUGAGAUUCUGACCAAUUUCUCAAAGCCAUAAGAAAGAAGAAGACCUGUUGCAUAAAAAUAGUAUGUUGCAGGAAGAAAUUGCCAUGCUAAGACUGGAACUAGACACAAUAAAACAUCAGAACCAGCUGAAAGAAAAGAAAUAUUUGAAGGAUGUUGAAAGUGUGAAAUAAAAGAAUGACAACCUUCAAAAUAUGAUAAAACUGAAUGAGGAAACAUCAACAAAAAUAGUAUUUCAGUACAGUGGACAGCUUAGCAUUUUGACAGCUGAGAAUAAAACUCAGUUCUCAACUUGAGAAUGUAAAACACAACAUGGAAAGACUGGAAAUGGAAAUUCAGUCAUAUCGAUGCAGGCUGGCUGCUGCUGUACAUGAUUGUGAUCAAAGUCAGACAGCAUAAGAAAACCUAGAACUUGCUUUCCAGAGAACAGGACAUGAAUGGGUUCAUUUACAGGAGAAAAUGAAUUCUGAUAUGUCUAACCUAAAAGAUAACAGUUAGAUUCUUUGUGAAAAAACUCUCUAAUGCUGACAGUAAAAUUAACGGCCUAAAAAUUAAGUUUCAUCAUGCAAGAGAAACACUCAGAGAAAAGACGUCAGUUUUAGAAUGUUUCCAAAGAGACCUUGGCCAAACACAGUGUCAAAAGAAAGAAAUUGAACGAAUGUAUAAAAAUGAACAAAGCAAAGUAAAUAAAUACGCUGAAGAAGCAGGAAUCUAUAGAGGACAGAUGUGCUCAACUACAAAGUGAAAAUAGGUUGCUUCGACAGCAACUGGAUGGUGCCCACAAGAAAGCUGACAAUCAAGAAAAGACAAUCAGUACUAUCCAAGACCGAAUCCAUGCCGUUGUAAAAAAAUCUAGCUGGGAGUGAAAUGCAGAGUCUUCUGCUAGAAGAGAAAAACAAAGACUUAAUGAAUGUAUGUAAUAAUUUGAAAGAAAGAAUAUAUCAAUGUGAAAAAGAAAGAAAAAAAACUCCAGCUGUAAAAGCCAAAGGUCCAGGGAUGGUCCCAUACCCUUUUUUCCAGUCUCAUGUUGAAGAUUUUUACGUAGAAGCUCUUCCCAAAGGAGUUUUUUUUUUUUUUUUUGAGACAGAGUUUUUACUCUUGUCGCCCAGGCUGGAGUGCAAUGGCACGACCUUGGCUCACUGCAACCUCUGCCUCCUGGGUUUAAGCGAUUCUCCUGCCUUAGCCUCCCAGGUUGCUGGGAUUAUAGGUGCCGACCACCACAUCAGGCUAAUUUUUGUAUUUUUAGUGGAGAUGGGGUUUCACCAUGUUGGCCAGGCUGGUCUCGAACUCCUGACCUCAGGUGAUCCUCCUGCCUCACCCUCCCAAAGUACUGGGAUUACAAGUGUGAACCCAUGCCUGGCCAGGAAUUUUUUUUUUAAGAAGGCUGUCUACUAAUGGAAUUCCUGGCCUUAAGAGGAUAUUACUUUCAAAGGAAAGGAUUUAUUUCGUUAUUUAAAGAGUCACCUAAGCUGAAGAUUCCCUUGAGAACAAGUACUGUACUAUGGUUUCAUGGCCUUUCUUCCAUUUGUGGUUCUUGCCAAGUGGAAUUUAAAUGACAUCUUAUCAAGAUGGAUAAACCCUAGUUUCCCAGUGCUGGAAUAUGUAAAAUGGAUAGAUAAGUAAGUCCCACUCAGCACCCAUAGCCCAGGCAUGGGGACCUCAACACAUCUGAGCCCCAGAGAUCACCUUUCAUUGUGAGUAGCUCUGAGAUGACACUUCUGGUUGGUAAGUGCCCACUGGCAAUAGUUUAUAUAACAGCAAGUGAAGGAAUAAAUAGUCACCAAAACAUUCUGUCCCUAAUUCCAGCAUUAAUUGGAUUAGACAGUUAUUUUAUGAAGAAUUUUCGUAUGCCACAGUCCUGACCAUAUCUUCAAGUGAACAGAAAAAUUUGAUUAAAAAGUCAACCUUCUGUCUCACUCUGUUCCCCAGACUGGACUGCAGUGGUGCAGUUAUGGCUCACUGCAGCCUCAACCUCCUGGGCUCAAGCAGUCCUCCUUCCUCAGCCUCACAAGUAGCUGGGACUACAGGUACUCGUCACCACACCUCACUAAUUUUCGCAUUUUUUUUUACAUGUGGAUUCCACAGGACUGACUUCAAAAACUUGAGUAUGCAUGGAUUUUGGUAUACACAGAAAUGGGGGAGCUGGAAUUAAUCCCCCCAUAUACCAAGGAACAAAUUGUAUCUAUUUUUACAAUUAUACUGUAGGAUACAUUACAUUCCAUGACAAUGGUAGCUUUUAAAAACAAUUUUUAAUUUAGUGAAAUUACCAUAAAAAUAACAAUAGUAGCAGCUAACAUUUACUGAGCUGUUACUAGGUGCCUAUAAAUACCAUAGAUUUUUAAAUUCUCCGUAACUCUUCCUUAUUUCACUUAACCACUCUAUCUUAAAUUACUCAUGCUUGCUCCAGUAGCACACAUACUUAAGUUGGAACAAUAGAGAGAUUGGCAUGGCCUCUCUGAAAGAAUGACAUGCAAAUUUGUGAAGCAUUCCAUAUUUUUUUUUAAAAAGAGAAAAAAAUUACUCCCAGAUUUUCACUGUAUUUGUGCAUAUGACCUUUUAUUUAGGUUGAAUUAUAUCCAAAGAUGAUAUUUUCAGAAGUGAGAUUACUGUGAGUCGCAGGGUAUGAGCAUUCUUACUACCCUUGAUGUAAAUUGCCGAGCUUUCAGGCAUGGUGGCUGUCAGCCUGUAAUUCCAGCACUUUGGGAGGCUGAGGUGGGAGGAUUGCUUGAGGCCAGGAGGUGGAGGAGGCAGUAUAAUCAGUCACUGUCUGUAUUAUUUAAAAAAAAUUUCCAAGCUUUAUCCUGGAAGGCUUGUAUACAAUUUAAACACCACUAAUACUACAAGAAAAUGGCCAUUUCACUGCACCUUCGCUGGCACAGGUAUUAUAAUUUAACAAGUUAUUUUCUGUGUGAUAAAUAAAAGACCUCAUAUUACUUUGUCACUUUUUUUUUUUCCUUUUUGAGAGACAGUCUCGCUGUGUCACCCAGGCUGGAGUGCAGUGGUGUGAUCUCAGCUUACUGCAACCUCUGCCUCCCAGGUUCAAGUGAUUCUCCUGCCUCAGCCUCCUGAGUAGCUGGGAUUACAGGCGCACAGCACCACGCCCAGCUAAUUUUUUUUUUUUUAUACUUUAAGUUUUAGGGUACAUGUGCACAAUGUGCAGGUUUGUUAACAUAUGUAUAUGUGUGCCAUGUUGGUGUGCUGCACCCAUUAACUUGUCAUUUAGCAUUAGGUAUAUCUCCUAAUGGUAUCCCUCCCCCUUCC